rnacentral:tRNA from 1 species
GCUUAAGUAGUUUAAUAAAAAUACUGAUUUGUGAUAUCAGAGAUAUAAUGUAGUUAUUUUAGGCA